AUUGAACGCUGGCGGCAGGCAUAACACAUGCAAGUCGAGCGAGCGGCGGACGGGUGAGUAAUGUAUGGGGACUGCCCGAUAGAGGGGGAUAACUACUGGAAACGGUAGCUAAUACCGCAUAAUAUCGGAUAACCCAUAUGGGAUUAGCUAGUAGGUGGGGUAAAGGCUCACCUAGGAGACGAUCUCUAGCUGGUCUGAGAGGAUGAUCAGCCACAUUGGGACUGAGAUACGGCCCAGACUCCUACGGAGGCAGCAGUGGGGGAUAUUGCACAAUGGGCGAAAGCCUGAUGCAGCGACGCCGCGUGGGGGAUGAAGGCUUUCGGGUUGUAAACCUCUUUCGCUAUCGAACGGGUAGGUGGAGAAGAAGCGCCGGCUAACUACGUGCCAGCCGCCGCGGUAAUAC
rnacentral:rRNA from 1 species